rnacentral:rRNA from 1 species
AAGACAUUGUGUCUUCGAGUCGUUGAUUUCACACUGCCGAGAAAAGCCUCUAGAUAGAAAAUAGGUGCCCGUACCGCAAACCGACACAGGUAGUCAAGAUGAGAAUUCUAAGGUGAGCGAGCGAACUCUCGUUAAGGAACUCGGCAAAAUGACCCCGUAACUUCGGGAGAAGGGGUGCUCUUUAGGGUUAACGCCCAGAAGAGCCGCAGUGAAUAGGCCCAAGCGACUGUUUAUCAAAAACACAGGUCUCUGCUAAACCGUAAGGUGAUGUAUAGGGGCUGACGCCUGCCCGGUGCUGGAAGGUUAAGAGGAGUGGUUAGCUUCUGCGAAGCUACGAAUCGAAGCCCCAGUAAACGGCGGCCGUAACUAUAACGGUCCUAAGGUAGCGAAAUUCCUUGUCGGGUAAGUUCCGACCCGCACGAAAGGCGUAACGAUUUGGGCACUGUCUCAACGAGAGACUCGGUGAAAUCAUAGUACCUGUGAAGAUGCAGGUUACCCGCGACAGGACGGAAAGACCCCGUGGAGCUUUACUGUAGCCUGAUAUUGAAAUUCGGCACAGCUUGUACAGGAUAGGUAGGAGCCUUUGAAACGUGAGCGCUAGCUUACGUGGAGGCGCUGGUGGGAUACUACCCUAGCUGUGUUGGCUUUCUAACCCGCACCACUUAUCGUGGUGGGAGACAGUGUCAGGCGGGCAGUUUGACUGGGGCGGUCGCCUCCUAAAAGGUAACGGAGGCGCUCAAAGGUUCCCUCAGAAUGGUUGGAAAUCAUUCAUAGAGUGUAAAGGCAUAAGGGAGCUUGACUGCGAGACCUACAAGUCGAGCAGGGUCGAAAGACGGACUUAGUGAUCCGGUGGUUCCGCAUGGAAGGGCCAUCGCUCAACGGAUAAAAGCUACCCCGGGGAUAACAGGCUUAUCUCCCCCAAGAGUUCACAUCGACGGGGAGGUUUGGCACCUCGAUGUCGGCUCAUCGCAUCCUGGGGCUGUAGUCGGUCCCAAGGGUUGGGCUGUUCGCCCAUUAAAGCGGUACGCGAGCUGGGUUCAGAACGUCGUGAGACAGUUCGGUCCCUAUCCGUCGUGGGCGUAGGAAAUUUGAGAGGAGCUGUCCUUAGUACGAGAGGACCGGGAUGGACAUACCUCUGGUGUACCAGUUGUCGUGCCAACGGCAUAGCUGGGUAGCUAUGUGUGGACGGGAUAAGUGCUGAAAGCAUCUAAGCAUGAAGCCCCCCUCAAGAUGAGAUUUCCCAACUUCGGUUAUAAGAUCCCUCAAAGAUGAUGAGGUUAAUAGGUUCGAGGUGGAAGCAUGGUGACAUGUGGAGCUGACGAAUACUAAUCGAUCGAAGACUUAAU